AAGCAGCCAUCAUUUAAAGAAAGCGUAAUAGCUCACUGGUCGAGUCGGCCUGCGCGGAAGAUGUAACGGGGCUAAACCAUGCACCGAAGCUGCGGCAGCGAACGUAUCACUUAAAGCGAUUCAGCGGGUUACGAUUGACGGAGCGAAGCGACGUCAAAGCGUAUACAAAGUCGAGUCGGUUUAAGGAUACGUUCGUUGGGUAGGGGAGCGUUCUGUAAGCCUGUGAAGGUGGCCUGUGAGGGUUGCUGGAGGUAU
rnacentral:rRNA from 1 species